rnacentral:lncRNA from 1 species
CGCUGAUCGAUAUCUUGGUAAAAUAUUCAUUUUUAAACUAGCGGGCAGUGAAAUCUUUGCUUUGUGUGCUAAAGUCAACAGUCGCUUGGUUUGAGCUCAAAUAAAUGCGGGGAUGCCUCGGCUCGGAGCAGUCGGCCUCCUCCCUCCGCGAGCUGGACGCUCCGCAGCCCGCCCGCCAGCCGGCCCGCCGGCCGCCGCAGGAAUCCCUGGAUAAAGACCAGCUCAACCAUCGCUGAGAAAACAGACCUAGGCUUCCCAGGGCGGUUAACCCGCCGGCCUCUGGGCAGAGACUGUACCCAGUAUGAGAAUGUAACCAUCUGUAUGUGCAUAGAAGGCUGAAGAAAGCGGGUGC